CCGGUUGAUCCUGCCGGACCGGACUGCUAUUGGGAUUCGAUUAAGCCAUGCGAGUUUUCCGCAAGGAGGCAGAAUGCUGAGUAACACGUAGGUAACCUAACUUCAGGAGGAGGAUAACCUCGGGAAACUGAGGAUAAUACUCCAUAGUUUUAAGACACUGGAAUGUUCUUAAAAUAAAAGCCUCGGCACCUGAAGAUGGGCCCGCGGCCUAUCAGGCUGUUGGUGGGGUAAAGGCCCACCAAACCGUUGACGGGUAGGGGCAGUGAGAGCUGGAGCCCCCAAAUGGGUACUGAGACACGGACCCAAGCUCUACGGAGUGCAGCAGGCGCGAAACCUUCGCAAUGCACGCAAGUGCGACGAGGGGAUCCCAAGUGUUCUUGCUAUUGCAAGAACUUUUCUUAAGUGUAAAUAGCUUAAGGAAUAAGGGCUGGGUAAGACAGGUGCCAGCCGCCGCGGUAAUACCUGCAGCUCAAGUGGUCUGGAAUUUUAUUGGGUUUAAAGCGUUCGUAGCCGGGUCUGUAAGUUUUCUGUGAAAUCCAACAGCUCAACUGUUGGGCGUGCAGAGGAUACUACAGGCCUUGGGACCGGGAUGGGCCAAGAGUACUCUCAGGGUAGGGGUGAAAUCCAAUAAUCCUGAGGGGACUACCUGUGGCGAAAGCGCUUGGCUAGAACGGGUCUGACGGUGAGGAACUAAAGCUAGGGGAGCGAACGGGAUUAGAUACCCCGGUAGUCCUAGCCGUAAAUGAUGCAGACUAGGUGUCACUCUCCCUUCGUGGGAGUGUGGUGCCGUAGGAAAACCGAUAAGUCUGCCACCUGGGAAGUACGAUCGCAAGGUUGAAACUUAAAGGAAUUGACGGGGGAGCACAACAAGGGGUGGAGUCUGCGGUUUAAUUGGAUUCAACGCCGGAAAUCUCACCGGGGGCGACAGCAGUAUGAAGGUCAGGUUGACGAUCUUACUAGACUCGCUGAGAGGUGGUGCAUGGCCGCCGUCAGUUCGUGCCGUGAGGUGUUCUGUUAAGUCAGACAACGAACGAGACCCACGCUGUCAGUUGCUAAUUUCUUCUCCGGAAGGAAUGUACUCUGACAGGACCGCUAUUGAUAAAAUAGAGGAAGGUGUGGGCAACGGUAGGUCAGUAUGCCCCGAAUCCCCCGGGCUACACGCGGACUACAAUGACUGGAACAAUGGGCUGCGACUCCGUGAGGAGGAGCUAAUCCCUAAAUCCAGCCUAAGUUCGGAUCGAGCGCUGAAACUCGUGCUCGUGAAGCCGGAAUCCCUAGUAAUCGGAUGUCACUA
rnacentral:rRNA from 1 species